UACAGAGGGUGCAAGCGUUAAUCGGAGUUACUGGGCGUAAAGGGCGCGUAGGCGGAUAUUUAAGUCGGGUGUGAAAUCCCUGGGCUCAACCUAGGAAUUGCAUUCGAUACUGGAUGUCUAGAGUAUGGUAGAGGAAAGUGGAAUUCCCGGUGUAGUGGUUAAAUACGUAGAUAUCGGGAGGAACACCAGUGGCGAAGGCGGCUUUCUGGCCCAAUACUGACGCUGAGGCGCGAAAGCGUGGGGAGCAAACAGG
rnacentral:rRNA from 1 species